UUAUGUGAAAUUACCAAUUUACCCGAAACCCUAUUUUUUUCAAAAUAAUGAAACACUUACCCAUUAACCCGUUACUCGACCCGGUUCUCCUUCUAUCCCCCUCAGCCCCCCAAACCCAGCCACAACACACCGCAGCAAUAGCUGCAAAAAGAAAGGAACGAAGAAAGAAAAGGGCUAGGAGGAAACGGGAAACGCAGAGGGAAGCAGGCAAGGAGGAAGGUCGCGUCGGCAUGCUGGGCAGCACCGCCACCACCGUGCCUUGUUGUCGCGACCUAACCACGUCGCCAUCGACCCGUGACGCUGCCUCCAGAACCGCGCAAAGGACAGAGGGAGGAGAGAGAGAGUUCGCGUUGGAGGAGAGAGGGAGCUCGUGCCUCACCGCCGUCACCCAUGGAGCCACGAGCGACGUCGGUCGCCGCGGCGUCGCGUCGGAGAGGAAGCCUGAGACUGAGCGCCGCUGGGAGAGAGGAAGACGCGGGCUGGAGGAGCUGCAUCCAGUCGCCGCUGUCGCGCCACUGACCGCCGCUGUUCUGCCGUCGCCGUCAAAGAGGUUCUGCCAGGAGAGAGGAGACCGGCGUGCGUGAAAAAGAAGGGGAGAGGUCCGAGGCUGAGAUGGUUCCCGUCACUGUCGUCUGCCUCUGUCACUACCGACCUGCUACUCCGCGGUGCUUAAUUGGAGCUUUUGCUACUGUCGCCGGAGUUCUGAGGCCGUCGGAACCACCGCCGGAGCUUCUGGCUAUCUCUGUCAUCGCCGAAAAAGUUGUCGUUGACCCAUCAGAGCUUCUGGCCGCCACCAGAGCUGUUGCCGAGGCCGGUUCAGAAUCGUAGCUGCUUCGUGUUGUUAUUUCGGGCUGUGCUUUGAAGCUGCCUUUGAUUUCGGGUUGAGGCGGAAAGGAUUCUGUGAGACGUUUGGGUCGUUAUGGAAUUGCGUUUUGAGGAUAUGGGCGCAGAAGUUACGAAGAGUUUAUUUAGUUGUUGUUGGGAAGUUUUAUAUUGUUUUAAUUAUGGUUUAUUGUACACUCGCCUUUAUCUUGAUAUAUUCUGUAAGAGGGAAAUGGAUUGUAUUGGUUAAUGUUUGUAAUAUUAUAUAUAUAUGGACGUACUCUUAUGAGUUUUUGUAAGUUGUAUGGUAUCUAUGGAUGUAUGUUAUCGGAUGAAAGUAUUUUUGGGAGCGGUCUUGCGGUUUAAAGUUUUAAACAGGCUCAUAUUUUAGUAUUAAAUAGUAUAAGUGUCGUUGUAAUGUUUGAGCUAUUAGAGUGGCGCAGCCGAAAAUGUGAGCUAUGGUAGUUAGGAUGUUACACUACUCUCAUCAUGCUGCUCGACGCUGGCCUCCUUGCCUUGUCCCCUCGCCACAACCUUCCUCGUCUCCUCGCCACUAUUCCUCGUAGCCAUUUUACUUGUGGUCGUUGUUUUGCAUCACAUUUGUAGUUCUACUGCUUAGCUACAUCACUUCUAGUUUCUUUGAG